UACGUAGGUGGCAAGCGUUGUCCGGAUUUACUGGGCGUAAAGAGCGCGCAGGCGGUCGUUCAAGUCGAGUGUGAAAGCCCCCGGCUCAACUGGGGAGGGUCACUCGAUACUGAUCGACUCGAAGGCAGAAGAGGGAAGCGGAAUUCCCGGUGUAGUGGUGAAAUGCGUAGAUAUCAGGAGGAACACCGAUGGCGAAGGCAGGUCUCUGGGCAUUAACUGACGCUGAGGAGCGAAAGCAUGGGGAGCGAACAGG
rnacentral:rRNA from 1 species